rnacentral:rRNA from 3 species
UGGUGGGUAGUUUGACUGGGGCGGUCUCCUCCUAAAGAGUAACGGAGGAGCACGAAGGUUGGCUAAUCCUGGUCGGACAUCAGGAGGUUAGUGCAAUGGCAUAAGCCAGCUUGACUGCGAGCGUGACGGCGCGAGCAGGUGCGAAAGCAGGUCAUAGUGAUCCGGUGGUUCUGAAUGGAAGGGCCAUCGCUCAACGGAUAAAAGGUACUCCGGGGAUAACAGGCUGAUACCGCCCAAGAGUUCAUAUCGACGGCGGUGUUUGGCACCUCGAUGUCGGCUCAUCACAUCCUGGGGCUGAAGUAGGUCCCAAGGGUAUGGCUGUUCGCCAUUUAAAGUGGUACGCGAGCUGGGUUUAGAACGUCGUGAGACAGUUCGGUCCCUAUCUGCCGUGGGCGCUGGAGAACUGAGGGGGGCUGCUCCUAGUACGAGAGGACCGGAGUGGACGCAUCACUGGUGUUCGGGUUGUCAUGCCAAUGGCACUGCCCGGUAGCUAAAUGCGGAAGAGAUAAGUGCUGAAAGCAUCUAAGCACGAAACUUGCCCCGAGAUGAGUUCUCCCUGAGACUUUAAGUCUCCUGAAGGAACGUUGAAGACGACGACGUUGAUAGGCCGGGUGUGUAAGCGCAGCGAUGCGUUGAGCUAACCGGUACUAAUGAACCGUGAGG